rnacentral:lncRNA from 1 species
GGGAUGGAGGGUGCCGGGAUGGCGUUCUGGGUUCACGGCGGUGCCAGGGGAGUGGCGGGGCUGGGGAAUGCCCGGGUGGAGCAUCCUGGGUGGUGGUGCGGGGGGCCAGGUACAGUCCGGGGCUGAGAUGGGUGCUGGGGGUCACGAGGGCCUCAGGGAAAGUGUGGGGGACAGGCAUGCUACUGUGUCCCCAAGCACUGCCCCUUCCCAGGCUGGACCUGAGCAACUGCUCCCUGCAGAGCGUUCCCCCGGGACUGGCCGAGGCCACCGCUGCCGUCAUCCUGGACCUGACUGAGAACCCGCUGACAGCUGUUCCCAGUGCUUCCUUCCUGGGCUUCACCCAGCUNNNNNNNNNNNNNNNNNNNNUCCCGGUCCUGGGCAGGGCCCGUUCCCGAUGCUUCUCUUCGGAGGAAUCCUGGGCGCCGCCACCGUGUCCCUGUCCCUGCUGCUGUGGGGCACCCAGCGGAGGAAGGCCAAGAGCCCCUGAGCAGGGCAGGAGGCCGUGCCUGGGCUGGGAGCUCUGGGGCUCAAUAAAGCUGCAGCUCCUCGCUGUGUGUCCGUCUGCUUCCUUCCCGAGGGAAGGGGGGGUGCAAAUUCCCACUGCUAUAGAAACAUAUUAUAAUAUUGCCUUUUUGCAAAUAUUGAAAUGGGUUUAUAGGGGUAGUGUUAAAGUGACUUUGUUAUAAAGAUAUAGUUUUUGCUUCUGUUGUUAAUUAAGCUUAGACAUAGCAGUGCAAUAGCUGAUAUCAGUGCUUGUGCUAAAAUGCCUGCUGGGAUGGGAUAACAUCCAGUGCACACAGGGUGAGCACACCUGUACAGAUCUGCCAACUGUCAGCACUCACCGUCUGAGGCCAAAAAAAUGGAUAAAGAAAAGGAGCCAAAACCACAGCCAAGAAACACACAUGCUCUAAAAAGGCAGAUCAAAGGAGGGGCCAUGUAAAAUAGUUCCUGGAAAAUGUAAACCAGUUUAUGGAUAUGCACGAGGGUCUAUGAAUAUGCAACAGGCUGGUGUAAUUAAAAGGUAUUUCAGGGGUAUCCCCGAAGAUAACCGGGUGCUCUCGCCACAAUGCGCCCUUUGCUGUAUGGUCCUAUCUCCUGUUGUCCUUUAUUGCACUUUAAAAGUUUCCACAGGAGAGUGAACCUGUGUUUCACCGCAUCCUCCCCGCUCUGGCUGCGCUCGGGCCAAGGCCUGGGGGGGAAGAGGAGCGCCCGCCCCGGGACCUGCCCGCCCACGGUUACCGGUGCAGCCGUGGGGAACGGCGAGCGACCGGGAGCGGGCUGGGCUCCGAGACCUGGGGCGUGAAAAUCACGGCAGCGUCACGGUAAGCGAUUACUGCUGAGACCUGUUAUUAACCACCGAGAUCAGGGGAGAGCGCGAACGCAGUCCCCCACUACCACAAAU